rfam:Recombinant Hepacivirus C SA13fl, complete genome
UUGGCCCCUUUAUGCCAAUGAGGGCCUCGGGUGGGCAGGGUGGUUGCUCUCCCCCCGAGGCUCUCGGCCUAAUUGGGGCCC